GACGAACGCUGGCGGCGUGCCUAAUACAUGCAAGUUGAGCGCUGAAGGUUGGUACUUGUACCAACUGGAUGAGCAGCGAACGGGUGAGUAACGCGUGGGGAAUCUGCCUUUGAGCGGGGGACAACAUUUGGAAACGAAUGCUAAUACCGCAUAAAAACUUUAAACACAAGUUUUAAGUUUGAAAGAUGCAAUUGCAUCACUCAAAGAUGAUCCCGCGUUGUAUUAGCUAGUUGGUGAGGUAAAGGCCCACCAAGGCGAUGAUACAUAGCCGACCUGAGAGGGUGAUCGGCCACAUUGGGACUGAGACACGGCCCAAACUCCUACGGGAGGCAGCAGUAGGGAAUCUUCGGCAAUGGACGAAAGUCUGACCGAGCAACGCCGCGUGAGUGAAGAAGGUUUUCGGAUCGUAAAACUCUGUUGGUAGAGAAGAACGUUGGUGAGAGUGGAAAGCUCAUCAAGUGACGGUAACUACCCAGAAAGGGACGGCUAACUACGUGC
rnacentral:rRNA from 1 species